rnacentral:misc_RNA from 1 species
AAUCCUUUUCUGGUGGAGUUUGUAGGAAGUUAUGAUAAUAGUAAUAGCUUAGGGGAGGAUGGGAUACUGACUGUCUAGACAAUGAGAAAAACUUGGACAAGCAGUAGAAUAUAGGAGAAAGAAAGAAAGAAACAACCAAAUUAUUUCGUGUAAAAUUUUCUAACCUACCAGUGAUGCUUUGGCUUUAGCUUAUGCAUUGCAUUGUUUUGGACUUUCAAACAGCCAAGUGGAAUUUUGCUCUGAAA